rnacentral:rRNA from 1 species
UACAGAGGUCUCAAGCGUUGUUCGGAUUCAUUGGGCGUAAAGGGUGCGUAGGCGGCGCGGUAAGUCGGGUGUGAAAUCUCGGGGCUUAACUCCGAAACUGCAUUCGAUACUGCCGUGCUUGAGGACUGGAGAGGAGACUGGAAUUUACGGUGUAGCGGUGAAAUGCGUAGAUAUCGUAAGGAAGACCAGUGGCGAAGGCGGCUCACUGGCCCGGUACUGACGCUGAGGCACGAAAGCGUGGGGAGCAAACAGG